rnacentral:rRNA from 1 species
AUGGAGGGUCCCUCCUCUCUCUUCCCCUCCCUCCACUCUGCUGGUUGGUUGGACGGAAGACCACCGCUCGUCCGGCUUUGCUUCUUCCACCGCUGCUCCCCUCCCAUCAUAGUGCCAGAGACGCUGUGCCAAGGACGGAAGAGGAUCAAGUUGAAGAACCAAGUACUCCAAUCAGCAGAUCACUCCAAGCUGGAGUACCAAGCAGCUGUUACUCCAAUCACUCAAAUACGAAGAAUACAGGUCUCCAGCCAGGCGAAAGGGAUACUACUGGCGGCAAGCGAUGAACACCAUGGAGCAGCGGCGGACUUCACUACCUCAGGGGAUCAACAACCAGCUAUACCACGAUCGGAGCCAAAAUCAAGCAGCGGAGCAGCAGAGGAUUGGAGCUGUGGAUCAAUUUGA